rnacentral:rRNA from 1 species
GAGUUUGAUCAUGGCUCAGAUUGAACGCUGGCGGCAGGCCUAACACAUGCAAGUCGAGCGGAAACGAUGGAAGCUUGCUUCCAGGCGUCGAGCGGCGGACGGGUGAGUAAUGCAUAGGAAUCCGCCCGGUAGUGGGGGAUAACCUGGGGAAACCCAGGCUAAUACCGCAUACGUCCUACGGGAGAAAGCAGGGGAUCUUCGGACCUUGCGCUAUCGGAUGAGCCUAUGUCGGAUUAGCUAGUUGGUGAGGUAAUGGCUCACCAAGGCGACGAUCCGUAGCUGGUCUGAAAGGAUGAUCAGCCACAUCGGGACUGAGACACGGCCCGAACUCCUACGGGAGGCAGCAGUGGGGAAUAUUGGACAAUGGGCGAAAGCCUGAUCCAGCCAUGCCGCGUGUGUGAAGAAGGCUUUCGGGUUGUAAAGCACUUUCAGUGGGGAAGAAAUCCUCGGGGCCAAUACCCUCGAGGGAGGACAUCACCCACAGAAGAAGCACCGGCUAACUCCGUGCCAGCAGCCGCGGUAAUACGGAGGG